GGGGGGGGGGGGGGCAACAAUGUUCUGCAACAGUAUAAUGCAACAAUGUAUGAAAUUAACAUAACUGAAUGAAUAAAUAACAACUUCUCUUUUUGGGAGUAUUUCUUCUAACGGGAUAUAAAUCUGAUUCUGAUGAAUCAUAAACGUUUAAAAGGCUGUUAGAGAAUUAGUUCAAAGAAGUUGAGGUUCAAACCGUAAAAAUAAUUAGAAUAUAUAUGUUGUAAUGUGCUUGUAGAACAUGUCUAAAUAUUCCAGCAUCAUAGUGGAGGGGGGGGGGGGCAUUAGUUAGAAUAUUCCCACUCUCACAAUGAAGCAAUGAAAGGAAUGAUGGAGACAUUUUUUUAUUCAUCCCUGACCGACACUUUCAUUAUUGCUGCUGAAUGCGAGUCGUAUUAACAUGGAGCGCUGAGAACAAAGCUGAUUCAUUCUUAAUUCUUUUAUUGUUUCCAGACACAGAGCGCAGAGCCGUUGACAAAAAAGAAACGUUCAAUAGAAUGAAGUGCUCGUGUUAAAGUUCUCCUUCAGAAAACGGUUUUAUGUUAAAACACUCAGCUUAGUGACUCCCUCACUGACUAAAUAUGCAUUUAUGUCCUCCUGCCCCCCCGCUGGUGCUUGAGCCGCGUGCACGACUAGAAACACGAUGCAGCGUCCGUCUCCAUCUGGAAAGUGCUGUUAGCGCCCUUUUGCUGUUAGCGGAUUAGCGUUAGCACUCCUCUGCUAGUUUGAAAAACAUCAAGUCGGUGAGUCAGCAACUUGACAGCGGGGAACAUUUUUAAAGCUGCGCUUCUUUUUUAUGUCUAUAAUUUAUUCGGUCUCGCUGGAGUCUCUGCUGCAGUGAAAGACUUCUAUUCGUUGAGUGAAGUGAGUUCUGAUCGUGAAAAUAAACCGACUGGAGUCUUCUGGCUCCAAGGAGAACAUAUUAACCGUGUGUUUUACACAUUUAUAAACUAUCGUACUCUAUUUCCCAGCUGGUUUCAUUUCCUGCCGACUCAUUUGUUCUGUUUUGCGCCAGAUGUUCUGGAGGUUUUUUCGUGGUGGGAAAGAUGCUUGUUAUGAUGUUGAUCAACCUUCCAACCCUUUCACAUUAAAGUACAGGAGGAACCUUUGUUUCCCUGCUGAGUGAUCUGCUGUCAUCACACCACAUCACCAAGAGAGACGAUCGCGUAAUAAACUUUGUAAGAUAACAGAAUUGGGUCACCGAGCAGCCUGACAGCAAGCCGGCCAUUUGGGACAAUAAGACAUCGACUGUUACGCUGUUAGAGAGACGAGGCAAACUAAAACAUUACAAUCUGUUCUGUGGCAGGCAUCCAGGCAUGCAGGCAUGCAAGCAUGCAUGCAUACAGGCAAACAGGCAUGCAGGCAUGCAGGCAUCCAGGCAUACAUUCUUUGUCGUGUAACAAAUUAAAUAAAACACUUGUCACAUUCUUACAACCAGAUCCUUCUUUGAAAAACAUAAUUGUUCAUCUUUGGGAGGCAUUUGUUUUUGUUGCAGUGAUGCUGAUUUGCGUCGUGUGAUUGUGGUUCUGCUGAAGCCUCCUGCGAGGUCUUUAAGUUAUUAACCUUGCCCCCCCCCCCUCAGCCUCCAGAUGGAUUCUCAUUGUCUGCAAACAUCCAGCAGUCUGAAAAACUCUUCUCGUGGUGGUUUCUCCAGAUUUACACCUUCGGGACUUUUCCAGGAGGACGUUCUGAGAACAUUGUCUGUGGCCCUCAGCAGCGGAUGUAGUCGGAUCCUCAGUAUUGACGAAUGCACAUCAGAUCAAUUCAUAAAGCCGGCAGCUCUCUUCGCAGUGCAGAGACGAUCUCAGAGCGCUGUAGGCGUACCCUGAGAAGCGAAUCAAUCACACCUAAAUGGUGCAAAUAUGAAUCGACCCUCGGGGGGCUCAGACAGACGACCGGCCGUGCGCGGCAUCGCAAGAGGGACGUCGUGAGCAUUUCACCUUCAGCUUCGCCCACGGCUGAGCAGACGGAGCUCCAGACUAGCAUGUCGGCAUCAUUAUCUCACGAGUGUGUGUACUCGCAGUCUUACGGCAGAAACAUAACGUGUUCUCCCCUCAACCUUAAAGGCACUCAUGUGUCAGCAGUAAAAGGGCCGCGCUCCCCCCUCCGAGACAGAGACACCAGGAGACAGAGUCAUAACUCCUCUUUAUGGCCUCCUGCUGCUGCACCAGGUGCUUCCCACGCGGCCGCUCAACAGUUGUGUUUCCCUUCGUCGUUUAGAAAAGCUUAUGCAGAUUUAAGUUGAAUGUCCAAGAAUGACUGACAACAACCCCAAGAGGUUAACAUGGGAAUCAACACACAAACAAUGCAACAAUAGUUUAGAGGGGGCAGGGAGGGGGGGGUGAGAAGAUGUUAUGUUAGCUUCUCUUUGUAGUCUCCAGCCAGACCACUUAUUAUGGACACACACACACACACACACACACGUGGCCCCCAUAAGAUUAAUGCACACUUGCUCCCACACACACAGAAACACUCUGGGGCACUUGCACCAAACUACACCCCCCCCCACACCUUGUAAUGGUCUUUGUUUCCUCUUCCUGUCCAGCUCCGGUGUGAUGGCAGUGCGGCCCCCCGGUCCCCCAGAUGACCGUAGAGAUCGAGCUAACAGAUGAGAGCAGCAGUGAGGCGCUGGAGGUAAUGGUGGCUACAGCUCCGGCUUACAGCCCAUAUUUCUCCCUCGUGCCCCCCCCCCCUCCCCCGUGACACCUGCAGCAGGGAGCUGCUCGUAUUAGAGAGGCGGGUCGCGUAGAGAAAAACAGGAGCAGGCACACAACUUUUACGUUUGUGCCGUUGGUGCAAACAGGGACAAACAUUUAUUUAUGAAACUUGAGAAAUGACGAAGUGCAAAUACAAAUAAACUGUAAACAGAGAUGGUUCAGUUCACAAUGGCACCGUUAAGAGAUUAUAAGUGGAAUAUGACUGUGACAAAGGCAGCAGAGCAGUGGGACAAAGAUUCCCAAAUAUGUGCUGUUGAAUAUCUGUAUGUUAUUAUAGGAUUCCUGAUAUAUAUAUAUAUAUAUAUAUAUAUAUAU
ensembl:lncRNA